rnacentral:tRNA from 1 species
GAGGGUAUAGCUCAGUGGUAAAGCACUUCCUUAGCAUGCACGAGGUCCUGGGUUCAAUCCCCAGUACAUCCA